UACGGGGGGAGCAAGCGUUGUUCGGAUUUACUGGGCGUAAAGGGCGCGUAGGCGGCCACCGCAAGUCGGUUGUGAAAUCUCUGGGCUUAACCCAGAAAGGUCAACCGAUACUGCGGGGCUAGAGUGCAGAAGGGGCAACUGGAAUUCUCGGUGUAGCGGUGAAAUGCGUAGAUAUCGGAAGGAACAUCAGUGGCGAAAGCGGCUUCCUGGACCAGUACCGACGUUCAGGCACGAAAGCGUGGGGAGCAAACAGG
rnacentral:rRNA from 1 species